UGCCCUAUGGUGUAAAGGUAGCACACAAGAAUUUGACUCUUGUAAUACUGGUUCGAUUCCAGUUAGGGUAG
rnacentral:tRNA from 1 species